GGGAUUCAAGAGUACGUGAAACCGCUCAGGGGUAAACCUGCGAAACUCGAAUGAACGAACGGGGAGAUUCAUCGUCUCUUCCGGGCGUACGGGCGUCGCGUCGAUGGUGUCGCCUUCGGGCGUCCGCCACGGCCGACGUCCGUCCACGUCCCGGGACGGCGUGCACUUCUCCCUUAGUAAUACAUCGCGACCCGUUCGAUGUCGGUCUAAGCGCCGUCCGGGAGUCUCUCGGUCCGUCUUCGGACGCGGCCGGGUUGACCGGAUCCGGUUGCCGACCGGCCGUCGGACGGUAUAACAACGAAACGUGCACGCGCUCGCGCGCGUCCGGCCCGACGCAAGGCUACGCUUCGUCUCCCUCCUUCUGCCCGAGUGCGAGGGAGGGGGCGGCAGCUCCUGUCCGUCGCCGCCGUGCAGUCUCGGACUGUGCGCGUCUCCGUCUGCGAUGAUUCAGUUUCGGGCACUCGCAGGACCCGUCUUGAAACACGGCCCAA
rnacentral:rRNA from 1 species